rnacentral:sRNA from 1 species
AAAGACGAUGAAACUUCCCAGCAACUGGGGU